rnacentral:rRNA from 1 species
GACGAACGCUGGCGGCGUGCUUAACACAUGCAAGUCGAACGGAAAGGCCCUGCUUUUGUGGGGUGCUCGAGUGGCGAACGGGUGAGUAACACGUGAGUAACCUGCCCUUGACUUUGGGAUAACUUCAGGAAACUGGGGCUAAUACCGGAUAGGAGCUCCUGCUGCAUGGUGGGGGUUGGAAAGUUUCGGCGGUUGGGGAUGGACUCGCGGCUUAUCAGCUUGUUGGUGGGGUAGUGGCUUACCAAGGCUUUGACGGGUAGCCGGCCUGAGAGGGUGACCGGCCACAUUGGGACUGAGAUACGGCCCAGACGCCGACGGGAGGCAGCAGUGGGGAAUAUUGCACAAUGGGCGGAAGCCUGAUGCAGCAACGCCGCGGGCGGGAUGACGGCCUUCGGGUUGUAAACCGCUUUCGCCUGUGACGAAGCGUGAGUGACGGUAAUGGGUAAAGAAGCACCGGCUAACUACGUGC